GGUCUUCAGGGCGGGGUGAAACUCCCCACCGGCGGUAACGCAGCUGCGGCUGCGAAGCCCGCGAGCGCUGACAGCGCUGAUUUGGUGUAAAUCCAAAGCCGACGGUUACAGUCCGGAUGAAAGAGGAC
rnacentral:ncRNA from 1 species